rnacentral:rRNA from 1 species
UACGAAGGGUGCAAGCGUUACUCGGAAUUACUGGGCGUAAAGCGCGCGUAGGCGGCUUUGUAAGUUAGAGGUGAAAGCCCAGGGCUUAACCCUGGAAUUGCCUUUAAGACUGCAUCGCUAGAAUCGUGGAGAGGUGAGUGGAAUUCCGAGUGUAGAGGUGAAAUUCGUAGAUAUUCGGAAGAACACCAGUGGCGAAGGCGACUCACUGGACACGUAUUGACGCUGAGGUGCGAAAGCGUGGGGAGCAAACAGG